ensembl:snRNA U6 U6 spliceosomal RNA
GUGCUCACUUCAGCAGCUCAUAUACUAAAAUUGGAAUGAUACAGAGAUUAGCAUGACCCCCUAGGCAAGGAUGACGCACAAAUUCAUGAAACAUUCCAUUAAAAU